GAUGAACGCUGGCGGCGUGCCUAAUACAUGCAAGUCGAGCGAACGGACGAGAAGCUUGCUUCUCUGAUGUUAGCGGCGGACGGGUGAGUAACACGUGGAUAACCUACCUAUAAGACUGGGGUAACUUCGGGAAACCGGAGCUAAUACCGGAUAAUAUUUUGAACCGCAUGGUUCAAAAGUGAAAGACGGUCUUGCUGUCACUUAUAGAUGGAUCCGCGCUGCAUUAGCUAGUUGGUAAGGUAACGGCUUACCAAGGCAACGAUGCAUAGCCGACCUGGGAGGGUGAUCGGCCACACUGGAACUGAGACACGGUCCAGACUCCUACGGGAGGCAGCAGUAGGGAAUCUUCCGCAAUGGGCGAAAGCCUGACGGAGCAACGCCGCGUGAGUGAUGAAGGUCUUCGGAUCGUAAAACUCUGUUAUUAGGGAAGAACAUAUGUGUAAGUAACUGUGCACAUCUUGACGGUACCUAGUCAGAAAGCCACGGCUAACUACGUG
rnacentral:rRNA from 1 species